GGUAGCUGUUUGUAUUCAGAAGCAUGCAUACUGUCAGGUUUUUAUCUUGAGUGCAUCAAAAGCAACUCUGCACAAGAGGAUGAAAGUCCUGGACAGAUCUAUCACCGAGAGAGAAGAAACGCCAUCACAAUGCAGCCACAGAGUGUUCAGGGGCUCAGCAAAAUCAGCGAGGAGCCUUCAACGUCCAGCGACGAAAGGGCCUCGCUGAUCAAGAAGGAGAUCCAUGGGUCCCUCCCACAUCUGGCAGAGCCCUCCGUUCCUUACCGCGGGACCGUGUUCGCCAUGGACCCAAGGAAUGGUUACAUGGAGCCUCACUACCACCCUCCUCAUCUAUUUCCUGCCUUCCAUCCUCCUGUCCCAAUUGAUGCCAGACAUCACGAAGGCCGUUACCAUUAUGACCCAUCUCCUAUUCCUCCGUUGCAUGUGCCUUCUGCCUUAUCCAGUAGCCCAACAUAUUCGGACCUGCCCUUCAUUAGAAUUUCCCCGCACCGGAACCCUGCCGCAGCGUCUGAGUCUCCCUUCAGCCCUCCGCACCCCUACAUCAACCCUUACAUGGACUACAUCCGCUCCCUGCACAGCAGCCCAUCCCUUUCCAUGAUCUCAGCAGCCCGGGGGUUGAGCCCCACAGAUGGUGAGUCCCAGACCUGCUCCUACCGCUUCCUCCCUGCACAGCACCUGGGACAUAGUACAGGAAGUGAUCAGAAAAUAAUACGGUAAAUGUUUACAUCUUAAAAAGUUACCGCAGUAAACACACAUUACCAUUCAU
rnacentral:lncRNA from 1 species